AACGAACGCUGGCGGCAUGCCUAACACAUGCAAGUCGAACGAACCCUUCGGGGUUAGUGGCGCACGGGUGCGUAACGCGUGGGAAUCUGCCCUUUGCUUCGGAAUAACAGUGAGAAAUUACUGCUAAUACCGGAUGAUGUCUUCGGACCAAAGAUUUAUCGGCAAAGGACGAGCCCGCGUAGGAUUAGGUAGUUGGUGGGGUAAUGGCCUACCAAGCCGACGAUCCUUAGCUGGUCUGAGAGGAUGAUCAGCCACACUGGGACUGAGACACGGCCCAGACUCCUACGGGAGGCAGCAGUGGGGAAUAUUGGACAAUGGGCGAAAGCCUGAUCCAGCAAUGCCGCGUGAGUGAUGUAGGCCUUAGGGUUGUAAAGCUCUUUUACCCGGGAUGAUAAUGACAGUACCGGGAGAAUAAGCUCCGGCUAACUCCGUGCCAGCCGCCGCAGUAAUAC
rnacentral:rRNA from 1 species